GACAAACGCUGGCGGCGUGCUUAACACAUGCAAGUCGAACGAUAGCCCUACGGGGUUAUAGUGGCGAACGGGUGAGUAACACGUAGUUGACCUACCCUCUUGUGGGGAAUAACUGCUCGAAAGAGGAGCUAAUACCGCAUGAGUUCUCCCUUGUAGGGGGGAGAAGAAACCUCUAUCGCAAGAUUGGGGGCAGGAGGAGGGGACUGCGGCGGAUUAGCUAGAUGGUGGGGUAAAGGCUCACCAUGGCGACGAUCCGUAGCUGGUCUGAGAGGACGAC
rnacentral:rRNA from 1 species